rnacentral:rRNA from 1 species
AUUGAACGCUGGCGGCAGGCCUAACACAUGCAAGUCGAACGGUAACAGGAAACAGCUUGCUGUUUCGCUGACGAGUGGCGGACGGGUGAGUAAUGUCUGGGAAACUGCCUGAUGGAGGGGGAUAACUACUGGAAACGGUAGCUAAUACCGCAUAACGUCGCAAGACCAAAGAGGGGGACCUUCGGGCCUCUUGCCAUCGGAUGUGCCCAGAUGGGAUUAGCUUGUUGGUGGGGUAACGGCUCACCAAGGCGACGAUCCCUAGCUGGUCUGAGAGGAUGACCAGCCACACUGGAACUGAGACACGGUCCAGACUCCUACGGGAGGCAGCAGUGGGGAAUAUUGCACAAUGGGCGCAAGCCUGAUGCAGCCAUGCCGCGUGUAUGAAGAAGGCCUUCGGGUUAUAAAGUACUUUCAGCGGGGAGGAAGGGAGUAAAGUUAAUACCUUUGCUCAUUGACGUUACCCGCAGAAGAAGCACCGGCUAACUCCGUG